rnacentral:rRNA from 1 species
GGGCCCGCACAAGCAGUGGAGUAUGUGGUUUAAUUCGAAGCAACGCGAAGAACCUUACCAGGGCUUGACAUCCCGUGCAUAGUAUAGAGAUAUAUGAAGUCCUUCGGGACACGGAGACAGGUGGUGCAUGGUUGUCGUCAGCUCGUGUCGUGAGAUGUUGGGUUAAGUCCCGCAACGAGCGCAACCCUUAUUGUUAGUUGCUACCAUUUAGUUGAGCACUCUAACGAGACUGCCGGUGACAAAUCGGAGGAAGGUGGGGACGACGUCAAAUCAUCAUGCCCCUUAUGUCCUGGGCUACACACGUACUACAAUGGCUGUUAACAGAGGGAAGCGAUACCGCGAGGUGGAGCAAAUCCCCAAAAACAGUCUCAGUUCAGAUUGCAGGCUGCAACUCGCCUGCAUGAAGUCGGAAUUGCUAGUAAUCGCGGAUCAGCAUGCCGCGGUGAAUACGUUCCCGGGCCUU